rnacentral:rRNA from 1 species
ACGAACGCUGGCGGCGUGCCUAACACAUGCAAGUCGAACGAGAAAGGGGCUUCGGCUCCGAGUAAAGUGGCGCACGGGUGAGUAACACGUGGGUAACCUGCCUCUAAGAUUGGGAUAACUCGUCGAAAGUUGAGCUAAUACCGAAUAAGACCACAGUUCCCGCGGGAACAGGGGUCAAAGGUAGCCUCUGCUUGCAAGCUAUCACUUAGAGAUGGGCCUGCGCACCAUUAGCUAGUUGGUAGGGUAACGGCCUACCAAGGCAAAGAUGGUUAGCUGGUCUGAGAGGAUGAUCAGCCACACUGGAACUGAGACACGGUCCAGACUCCUACGGGAGGCAGCAGUGGGGAAUAUUGCGCAAUGGGCGAAAGCUUGACGCAGCAACGCCGCGUGAGUGAUGAAGGCCUUCGGGUCGUAAAGCUCUGUCGGGAGGAACGAAUGCUCCUGAGGUUAACAGCCUCGGGAGGUGACGGUACCUUCAAAGGAAGCACCGGCUAACUCUGUG